GUCGCUGCGGGCCGGGCGGGGGCCGCGGGGCUGCGAUGCGGACGGGCCCGCGGCGGUGACCGGAGCUGCCGCCCGACAUGAACUCGCUGGAGCAGGCGGAAGAUCUCAAGGCUUUCGAGAGGAGACUUACUGAAUAUAUUCAUUGUUUGCAACCUGCUACUGGCCGUUGGAGAAUGCUUCUUAUAGUGGUAUCUGUCUGUACAGCUACUGGUGCCUGGAACUGGUUAAUAGAUCCCGAGACACAAAAGGUGUCCUUCUUCACAUCACUAUGGAAUCAUCCUUUUUUCACCAUUAGCUGUAUCACUCUGAUAGGCUUGUUCUUUGCUGGAAUACACAAGAGAGUAGUUGCACCGUCAAUUAUAGCAGCUCGAUGUAGAACUGUAUUAGCAGAGUAUAAUAUGUCUUGUGAUGAUACAGGAAAACUAAUUUUGAAACCCAGACCUCACGUUCAAUGACAGUCUGCACUCAUUGUUAUGGGACCUAAAACAGCCUUUCUUCAUAUAAGUGGUACAGCAAAAAGCCAUAAAGGAUUCCUUUUACAGUUGGAUAUGUGAAGGUCAUAGCAACAACUGACAAGAAGUGUGCAAUAUUUACCCAGAUUAUCUUGAUGAUGACUCGAAUUACCAGUGUUUUGGUACCUCUGAUGAUCUGUGUUUCAGUAUUAGUGUCACUUUAGUACUUCACGUCCUGCAGAGUUUUUGCAGAUGAAGUAUGUAUGUAUGUUACUAAGUUAAACUUAGAAACAGAACCUCAUCCAGUUUUUAUAAUGUAUUUUUGCAAACUACUGUAAAUAGCAAAUCAAUGCCAAUGUUAAAAGAGGGAAAUGUUGUGUGGAGUGUGUUCUCCUGCACCAGUAUUUCAGGCACAUCUGCCUGUCAUCUCCACAGCUCUCUCAAACCAGCUAUUACGGAUAGCUGUGCCUUUCAUUCUUAACUCCUCUGUGUUCAUCAUAAUGCAGCAAAAGCAUUGGAUUGAGCUUAGACUGAGGAAAGCUCAUCUCCAUUAUGUUGUAAGAAAUUAUAGCUGUUUAGAGAAACAAUUUUUGUUAAACCCGAUAGUGAACUUCAGCCACUAUUGUGAUAUUUUCCAGUUUCUUGUUUUCAUUUAAUCUAAAUAUACUUUUAUUUUUUUAAUAAUUUUAAGAAUACUCCAAAGGCUUCUGAAGAUACCAGUUUAGUUAUAAAUUAUGUAUUGUCUGGGAAUUUGAUAUUCAUUGUUUUAGAUAAUUGGAUUUUAUGCUGUGGUAGACAUGCUGUUAUACUAGUAUUGCACAGGUGUAACUGAUCAUCCUCCAUCGUAAGGAUAACUGGGAGCAGUGCCAGGGACUAGAGUCGACAGUUCUCACUGUUUAGAGUGUUAUUGACAUACUGUGUAUGCAUAUUAGUCACAUGUACUAUAAUAGCCCUUAAAAUUAAACUAUUGGAAUUGUAAAUAUUUUAAAGAACUGGAGGUGCCUUUUACCUGUUUAUUAGAAGAUUUUGAAAAGGUUUAAAUUAUUUCAUGAGCAAUCUUUUAAAUUUCAUUUAACAUACAGCUGACAAUUCAAUAAUAGGAUGAAAACUUUUUAACAAGGCUACCAUUUAACUUAAAUGUGUUCAUUUGGCUUUCACAUGUAUAGAAUUUUAUUCUUUGAACUGCAGCAAUAAAACCCUCUGGUCCUAAGAAGUCUUAAGAGGGUAUUCUGUGUAUUCUGCAUUGUUUUAUUUUCUGUAAAUUUUGUAGGUAAAUAUGUGCAUAAAAAAUAAAUACUUUAUAUAUAAUUAGUGAUUGGGCUUUUUUCUUGAUUCGUUGUAAGUCUAUAACUGAAAAAUUUUAAAAACGAUUGUGUCAAGUACAGGAUAGUUGCAAAUGAGAUAUUUUACUUCAGCUCUGCGUCCAGUAGAUCAUAUUUCAAAUAGUAGUUGUACUUACCCAGUUUGUUAGACUAUGAGUGCUUUUAAUGUGCCUCAUUCGUCAUUGUCUGAUAACAUUUGGCUCAUAAUCAGGAAAUGCAGUUUUUCUCAACUUGUGCCUUACAGACUUGGAUUGCCAGUUUUCUCCAAGAGUACAAAGCUGAAGUGGGAUAUUAUAGGUCCUUAAUCCUUUUUGGAGUCAUCAACUACUUAACUGGACUCCUAAUUGACAUUCUGUAGAGACUGAGCUAAGAAUCCUAGCUGACAGAUAGAUGCUCUGCCUUCAACAACUAAAGUGGCUCUGUCGUUUCCUCUCCUGUCGAAAGCAUAGAAAGUUGAGGCUCCUUCUUUCAGACUCUUAAACUUCCUAUACGCUUUUACAUAGGGUAAGUACAAUUUCUCUUUUUUUUCCCAUUAAAAAUAGGGAAUAUAAGAUAUGUUUCAUCAUGGAGCACAAACUUCUUUAGCUCUUAUUUUUAAAUUUAAGUUACUUUUUACCUCAAAUUUUGUCAGUCACUUGUAGCUCUAUACCACGUUGGGGGCCCUUAUGUGUCCAUGCAUCACUCACCCUCUGCCAGAACUUUCGUGCCCAUAUCUUAUCUACCCUUCCCCUCUCCCCAUUCUCUCUGAUAACCCAAUUUAUUUUCCACAGUCUAAGAUUUACUUUUGCUGUGCUUUGCCAGUUUGCGAACACAAACAUUUUAAAAACUGAUGUUUUUAGUGUAUGAUUACUAUGUCUAGUGAGCGAUUGUAAGUCUGAUUGUGUGAAAGAUAGGAAAUAACAGCUAUGACCUGAAAGUUUAAGGUGCACUAUUCAUCACCUUUGUAGACUACGCUUUACGUGGCAGGUGCUGUACCAGGUAUUAAAAAUGUGUGAGGAAGAAUGUUUGCCCUCUCAGAACUUGUCUACUGAGGAAUACAGAUGGUUGAUCAAGCCGUCAGCGUGUGAUGAGGUACUGUGAAGGCGUAGGUGUGGGGUUCUGAAGAAUCCCACAGAAAGCCGUCCAAUCCAUGUAAGACUUUCUUAGUCAAUCUUACGUAGUUAGUUCCUAAGAGAUCUUCAGUGUCCCUGGCAGGGUUGAGAGCCCAGGGGCAGUUCCUGAUUGUGGCUGGUAUCAAUAGGGAAAGAGGGAUGAGGCUCAAGGUAGGAACCAAGAGUUGGGAGUUUUGUGAGGGUAGUGACUUAAUGGGAUUUGACUGACUAUGGUGUGAACUGAAGAGACAGGACCUGGGAGGCAGUGGGGAACCGCCACCGUAGUCCAGGUAAGAUGGUGCCAGCUGCUGUGCUAACAUUCAGGUAGUAGAACCAGAGAAGAGUUUCCGUUUUUAUUGAAGUAAUGCCGCUUUGCAAACUGUAGAUUUCAGCUGCAUGAUGUAGUUUCUCACCUCAGCAACUGUAUCACACCAUGUUCACCACCAACCAGUCUCCCCCUUCCCCACUUGCUCUGCCUGCUCCCUUCCCCUCUGGUAACCCAUUCUGUUGUCAGAGAAGAGCUUUUGGGAGUCAUAUGAGUGGCACUUAAUGGGGAGCCAAGAAAUAGGAGCAUAAAGACCACUACUACCACCACCUUUUCCAUCCUGUAUAAUCUCUUCAAUAGGAAGAAAUAAAGGGUCCAGGAUCAGCAAUGCUUGGGAACUAUUAUAUCCCCCUCUUCAAGAUUCCCUAUGCCCCACAGCAUACAAAAACUCAAAGUGAUACUGCAAUAAAGGAACUUGUUUCUGUUUCCUUACUGUGCUGAGCAAUACUUAACAAUAUGCAUUGUGUGUAUUUGGGUAUUUGUCAUGGUUUCUGUCUACCCAGCUCUUUUUGGGUACAUCUGCUAAGGAAUGCCAACCAAAUCAGUCUGGCUUCUUCUAGAUCAAUCCAGAAAGUGUCCCUGAUUCCUUUGCAUUUGGAGUGUGUGUGGCGGGAGGUAGAGAGGCUGUUUCUGUUCAGUGGCAGGGUGCUUAGUGCUCGAUGGUGGCAGCAGUCUUGUCAGCCCAGUUAAAGGGCCUGGGUUUAGGCAUUUUUUUUUCUGACAGUUUAGCCUUGAACUGGUCUCUGGACCUCCCAGAUAAUUCUGUGAAGUACCCAUAUCCUUUUAAUAGUCUGUUCUUUUUAAUCAGCCAAAGUCAGUAUCUCUUAGUUGCAGUUAAAACUCUGACUGAUGGAAUAUUACACCUGAGUCGAAGGAGCACAUUUUGAAGAACUCCUACCUGUGAAAGGGACCAGGGUGCUGCUUCCAGCCAGCGUGAGGUUAUCUGCCCUCAGCCUUUGUGUAGUGGACCUCAGCCUGUGUGUAGUGGAAGAGCCCAGGCUGGCAGAUCAUAGAUUCCAUUAUAGUCCUGGGUCCAUUAGCUGCUUGAGCAAGUUACUGAUUCUCAUUGAACCUUACUUUCCUCACUUGGGCCUGUACUCAGCUCUCUUGCAGAAUUGUUUUAAACACACACACAUAAAUACACACACACACACACCACAUACACACACACAUCUGCCUUAUGGAAAUUUCUUAUUUACUGUUUGUUUGAAUGAAUAAAUGAAUCUUGACUUUUGUAUUGAAAUUGGGUUCGGACAUAAAUACACUAAAUCAAAUUUUCUUACGUAGUUUUGGGCAAGGUUCAUAAAAUAGAAAGCUAAAUGCUAAGCUCUGUAAGCAACAGGGAGAUUAAAACUAAGUAAUUUGUUUGUAAGCAAAUCAAGAGAAGUAUAUCUGUGUUAGAAGUGGAUUUUUAAAUUUUAAGUCUUAUGCAAUUAUCAGUAUUAUUUUUCCUGCUCUAACCUAAAAACCAUUAAAAAAAACAACAUUGUUACCAUGAAAAGUUUUUAACGUGUAAAAGUAGAGAGAACACCCAUCUAUCACCCAUCUGCAAUAGUUAGAAACAGGGACAUAACCAAUCUUCUGUGCACCCUAUUUCUUCCUUCCUCACCCUACACAAAGGAUUAUUUUGUGUUUUUUUGUUUUUUUAUUUAUUCAUGUAUACAAGAACCAGGGUACAGGCAGAUGUGCGGGAGGGUGAGAGGAUUCACCAGAGACAGAACGGGGAACAGAACAGGCAGACUGAUGGAAAUACACUGCUGAGGGGAGCAGAGGAAGAGACAGGAGAGGUCUGCCAUGCCAUGUGGGUAUCUUCCCCGGCCUGCCAGGAUUGAACCCGGCUGCAGAGGCUGCGGACAGCCUCACAGCUGUACUCAACCGCCUGUGCCACCAGGGAGGCCCCACACAAAGGAUUAUUUUGAAGUAAAUAUCAAGUAUUUCCUCUGUAAAUAUUCCAGUAAAUAUCUCCAAAAGAUAAGGACUCUUAACAAAUACUACUAUCACCACCCCCCCAAAAAAAAACCCAGUAAUUUCAUACCACCAAAUAUUUAGCUCAAACUUCCCUCAUUUGGAAAAACACUAGGGCCUGGGGGAAGGGUUUGUAGAAUCCCUAUUUCCAGAUUUUACCUGUUUAUAUCUGUGGACACAAGCAUAUGAAUACUUUUUCAAUAAAUAAUGUAGAGCAUUGUCAUGUGAGCACUACAACUGUCUUUUCAAAUAUUAACAACACACAAAAAUGUGGAAUGUAAUACAAAAGCACAAUGAAAGUUCAGAUGAGAGCAGGAGGAUUAGAGGGAGAGAGAUGCCAGGGAAGAAAUUGGAAUGUAUAUGUUCGAAUGUAUGGAAGAUAUCAAAUAUUUUUGGCACAUGGAAGAAAAAUAAUGACUGUUGGGAAACCAGGAUUAUGAAAAAAAAGCAAUUAUUAACUCCAAGAAAAAUACAAGGUUGCCCAAGAAACCAAGAACUGCCUUCAGAGAAUUUCGUGGUCCAGUAUAUAUUUGCGUUAUCCUAGUAACUUACCCAGACUUCUGAUUUAAUCAGAAUUAUGGCAUCAUUUUCUUAGGUAAAGGUGAAAUGAAGGAAACCUGGUCCUUACCCACCAGGACAAAAAGUCAAGAGAGAAUGUAUGAUAAUGACAAAUUGGAAAGAGCAGUAGCUUAUUGUGUGGAAAUAUGGAGAUAAGAAUUGAAUGUGUUUACUUCCUAGAGGCUUGGAAUUGGGAGAGUAAGGCAAGAGAAUGCUGCUCUUCCUUUUAUGAUGUCCAGGUUGUGUAUGCACAUCAAGUAUUCUUUGCAGUGAGGAAGCUAAAUAAUGUGUUUGCUAGAUACAGUUCAUUUCACCAGUGGAGAAACAGGAAUAGAGAGAUACUGCCUAGUUUGGGAUCCCUUGCUCUGCUGUUAUAUUUAUUUUCAGUGUUCCUCUCUUUACCUAGUAUUGCCCAUUAAAACUUUGAUUUCUUUACUAGCUCUUCAGGAAAUAUCAGCAAGUGCAGAAGUAGGCAGUGUGUUGCAGUUAUUACAAGCCCACUCAGGUCUGACUUGUGCAAGGUCAGUCCUCUCUGUCUUUUACAGGUUACCUGCUGUUAUGCAAGUAGUUUGUCUUCUCAGUGCCCCAGCCACUGGUCUUGGGCAGCUAUUUUCCAAUAUCUAUCACUAGAUUAAUCAUUUCUAAAGUUUCAUGUAAAUGAAAUAAUACAAUUAUGUAGUAUAGUAAUGCUUACAUGUGCCUUUUUUGCCUCAACAUAGCUUUCAGCUUUUAUUUGUGUUAAUAUAUAUACCCUUAAUUCAUUCUUCUUCUUUUUUGUUUCUCCAUUUACUUGUUGCUGGGCAUUUGAGUUGUUUCCAGUCUGAGGCUAUUAUUAAUAAAGUUUCUAUGAAUAUUCUUACAUAAGUCUGUGGAUACAUUUACUUUUCUUGGGGAUACCUCAGCAUAUAAUUGCAGGGUCAUAGAUUGGGUCUAUGCAACUUUUAUAUAUAAGAAACGGCCACACUUUUCCAAAGUGGUUUCCACAUUUUACAUUCCCACCAGCAAUGUUUGAGAGUUCCUGUUACUAUAUACCAACUAAAAUAAGGAAGACUGACAAUACUGGUUUUGGUGAGGUUGUGGAAUAACUGGUUGUGUUGAUAUUUUUAUAAAUAAGAUGACCUGAAAAUGUUUUCCUACUCUGAUCAUAACCAUUUGAGUUUUGUUACUUUCCAAAGGUUGGGUGGUUCGAUGGGAUUUAGGACAGUCCAUAUUAGUAUUUAACCCCACCAAGUACAAAUGAUUUCUAACCUUGUAUUUUAAAAUGUUUAUUUUAGUCAAACAGCCAACGAGGCAGGCGGUAGUUCUCAAAGAUGCUAAUAUCCUGGCUAUACAAAAUCAGUCUGGCUUAUUUCAAACAAUGACCACUA